GAUGAACGCUGGCGGCGUGCCUAAUACAUGCAAGUCGAGCGAACGGACGAGAAGCUUGCUUCUCUGAUGUUAGCGGCGGACGGGUGAGUAACACGUGGAUAACCUACCUAUAAGACUGGGAUAACUUCGGGAAACCGGAGCUAAUACCGGAUAAUAUUUUGAACCGCAUGGUUCAAAAGUGAAAGACGGUCUUGCUGUCACUUAUAGAUGGAUCCGCGCUGCAUUAGCUAGUUGGUAAGGUAACGGCUUACCAAGGCAACGAUGCAUAGCCGACCUGAGAGGGUGAUCGGCCACACUGGAACUGAGACACGGUCCAGACUCCUACGGGAGGCAGCAGUAGGGAAUCUUCCGCAAAGGGCGAAAGCCUGACGGAGCAACGCCGCGGGAGUGAUGAAGGUCUUCGGAUCGUAAAACUCUGUUAUUAGGGAAGAACAUAUGUGUAAGUAACUGUGCACAUCUUGACGGUACCUAAUCAGAAAGCCACGGCUAACUACGUG
rnacentral:rRNA from 1 species